rnacentral:siRNA from 1 species
UGUAUUUGUGCACCCGAACCGCC